CUGGACGCCACAGCGGGCCUGGAACCACCGGACCCAUCCCGGACCUCAAAAGGGAAACAGUCCUGCGCCGAUGGUAGUGUGGUUCGCCCAUGCGAGAGUAGGUCAUCGUCAGGC
rnacentral:rRNA from 1 species